rnacentral:rRNA from 1 species
AGGGCGCAUGGGGGAUGCCUAGGCUCUGACUGGCGANGAAGGGCGCGACAAGCAGCGAAAUUCCACGGGGAGCCGCACAUUGGCCUCGAUCCGUGGGUUCCCGAAUGGGGCAACCCGGNGUCUUGAAGAGACNCCACCCGCNAGGGGGCCGACCCGGCGAACUGAAACAUCUAAGUAACCGGAGGAAGAGAAAACAAUAGUGAUCCCGCAAGUAGUGGCGAGCGAACGCGGGCCAGCCCAAACCGUGCCCGUCAAGGCGGGCGCGGGGUUGUAGGGCCGCAUUUAACACAGGAGGACGAACCGGAACGGCAUGGGAAGGCCGGCCAUAGAGGGUGAGAGCCCCUUACGGGCAAGGAGUNCNGGUGAGCGGUACCCUGAGUAGGGCGGGGCCGGAGGAACCCCGUCCGAAGCGAGCGGCACCAUCCGCUAAGGCUAAACACAUGUCAGAGACCGAUAGUGAACCAGUACCGUGAGGGAAAGGUGAAAAGUACCCUGAGCAAGGGGGUGAAAUAGAACCUGAAACCAUGCGCCUACAAGCGGUCGGAGCCGNGAGAUNCGGUGACGGCGUGCCUUUUGCAUAAUGAGCCUACGAGUUGCCGUCCCUGGCGAGGUUAAGGGGUUCAGCCCCGCAGCCGGAGCGAAAGCGAGUCUGAACAGGGCGCGUAGUCAGUGGCGGCAGACGCGAAACUUUGUGAUCUACCCUUGGGCAGGUUGAAGUUCGGGUAAAACCGAAUGGAGGACCGAACCGGUAAACGUUGAAAAGUUUUCGGAUGACCUGAGGGUAGGGGUGAAAGGCCAAUCAAACUGAGAGAUAGCUCGUACUCCCCGAAAUGCCUUUAGGGGCAGCCCAACGUAGUGCCAUUGGGAGGUAGAGCUACCGAUUGGACUAGGGGGAGUCAAAUCCUACCAAAUCCAGACGAACUCCGAAUGCCCAUUGGCAACAAUUGGAGUGAGGGCCGGGGUGCUAAGGUCACGGUCCGAGAGGGGAAGAACCCAGACCGACAGCUAAGGCCCCAAAGCGCGCGCUGAGUUCAACUAAGGUGGUCCAGCUGCAGUGACAGCCAGGAUGUUUGCUCGGAAGCAGCAAUUCAUUCAAAGAGUGCGUAACAGCUCACUGGUCGAGCGGCAGGGCAUCGAUAAUAAGCGGGGAUAAGCGCGCCGCCGAAGCUUCGGGCCAGGCAGUUUACUGUCGUGGCGGUAGGGGAGCAUUCCGGUCGCGGUGAAGGUGNGGCGUGAGCCCAGCUGGAGCGUCCGGAAAAGCAAAUGUAGGCAUAAGUAACGACAAUGCGGGCGCGAAACCCGCACACCGAUAGACCAAGGUUUCCCAGUCAACGCUAAUCGGGCUGGGGUCAGUCGGGUCCUAAGGGGAAGGCGAAGGCCGAUCCCGAUGGCAAGCCGGUCAACAUUCCGGCACCGCCUUUAUGGGCGACGGGGCGACGGGGCAGUGGAAGGCGUGCGCGCAGACGGAAUUGCGCGUUGAAGGGUGUAGGUAUAGGUGCCACAGGGAAAUCCGUGGCGCUUGCCGAGACCCGAUAGUACCCCGAGUCCACGGACGAGGGGAUAACCGCCCUAAAUGCCCCCAAGAAAAACCUCUAAGCUUAACCAUNNNGGCGCCCGUACCGCAAACCGACACAGGUGGUCAAGGAGAGGAUCCUGAGGUGCUCGAGUGAAUCACGGCCAAGGAACUCGGCAAACUAGCCCUGUAACUUCGGGAGAAGGGGCCCCCCGUUUCGGCGGGGGCGCAGAGAAAUGGCCCAGGCGACUGUUUAACAAAAACACAUGGCUACGCGAAACCGCAAGGUGAAGUAUGUGGCCUGACACCUGCCCGGUGCUGGAAGGUUAAGGGGGGGCGUCAUCGCGAGAGAAGCGCUGAACUGAAGCCCCAGUAAACGGCGGCCGUAACUAUAACGGUCCUAAGGUAGCGAAAUUCCUUGUCGGGUAAGUUCCGACCUGCACGAAUGGUGUAACGAUCUGGGCGCUGUCUCGGCCGUGAGCUCGGUGAAAUUGAAGUAGCGGUGAAGAUGCCGCUUACCCGCAACGGGACGGAAAGACCCCGUGCACCUUUACUACAGCUUUGCGCUGGCCUUGGGCAGACGAUGUGUAGCAUAGGCGGGAGGCUUCGAUCCCGUGCCGCCAGGUACGGGUUAGCCGACGUUGAAAUACCGCCCUUUGUCUGUCUGGGGCCUAACCCCNCAACGGGGACACCGCAUGGCGGGUAGUUUGACUGGGGUGGUCGCCUCCAAAAGGGUAACGGAGGCUCCCAAAGGUCCCCUCAGCACGCUUGGUAACCGUGCGCGGAGUGCAAUGGCACAAGGGGGCUUGACUGCGAGGCGUACAUGCCGACCAGGCGCGAAAGCGGGGCAUAGUGAUCCGGUGGUCCCGCAUGGGUGGGCCAUCGCUCAAAGGAUAAAAGGUACGCCGGGGAUAACAGGCUGAUCUCCCCCAAGAGCUCACAUCGACGGGGAGGUUUGGCACCUCGAUGUCGGCUCGUCACAUCCUGGGGCUGGAGAAGGUUCCAAGGGUUGGGCUGUUCGCCCAUUAAAG